UACGUAGGGGGCAAGCGUUGUCCGGAAUCAUUGGGCGUAAAGCGCGUGUAGGCGGCCAGGUAAGUCCGUUCUGAAAGCCCGGGGCUCAACCCCGGGAGGCGGAUGGAUACUGCUUGGCUCGAGUCCGGAAGAGGCGAGUGGAAUUCCUGGUGUAGCGGUGAAAUGCGCAGAUAUCAGGAAGAACACCAAUGGCGAAGGCAGCUCUCUGGGACGGUACUGACACUGAGACGCGAAAGCGUGGGGAGCAAACAGG
rnacentral:rRNA from 1 species